UGGCCAUAAUUCUUGAAUUAUAGCUAAAAGAUAACUGAAAAAAGUGGUAGUUUUCAUCAGCAGUAUAUGGAGGUUACACAUUGUCUCCUAAAAUUUGCAGUUAGGGACGGUUUUUAUUUGAAUCUGCAGUUUACACUACUCCUCAACCUAUGCGCCUAAAUUCAUCCUUAUAAACCCCCUUCCACUUGCUGAAUCGAUGCAUCCUCUGGCUCUUUCUUCUCCCAUUUGACCGAUCCUUCUUCUCUCACAUCCAAACAUCUCAAUACCACCUGGUGUCCAUUGCCCAAAUUGGAAAAAAAAAAAGGAUCCGUAGGCCACUGGUGUUCACUUCCACUACCACAGUCGACGGUUGCGAGAAGUGGGCACUGCCUUUCGACCACAAUUUGGUAAUUUGUUCGUUUGGCUUGUCGUUCUCAUCGUUUUCAGUAGUUCUGGCAUAGCUUGGAGCACCAUCAAUCUCUCACACUCUCGGUAAUGCGUUCUGUUUUUCAAAGCCCUAAUUAGAGAGAAUUUGUUAGGUGUUUGUUUGUUUGUUUUGAUGAAUUCGUAAUAUUAUUGAUAACGGUUUAAGGUAACACGGCUGAAUUCCUUAAGUUACAAUUUGCUUGAUCUGGUUAUGUUUUGAAUUUGUUGGUCAUUAUUGAAGUUGAUGGGAUGUGUAUAGAAUUUAGGUCUGUUGUAUUACAUACAUUAUGCCUGUAAUAGUUGUAAUCAUGUUCUUGUGCUUCUGGGGCUUUCCGAAUCGAAACAAGGAGUCGGUAAUGCCGCUGAGCUCCGUCACAUUUUCGAUCUUCAAUUCCAUUCAUCAGUGCCAAAAUUGCAGAUCUUUAGUGAUGCCUCAACCAGCUAGAAAUUUGGGAUGUUUGAGAGGAAAAGUAAAAGUUGUUUAGUCUGGUGACACCAUGGGCAGAUCUUUAGUGAUGCCUCAACCAAAGCAGAAAAUUCUCCUAAGAAGGCUUUGGUUUUGCCUCAUCUAUGCACGUCGAGGUGGCCAGGAUGACCAUUUGUAUGGGAUAGCAGCAAAUAUCUCUAGAAGUUGCUGUUGUUUUUAGAACGGUAUACACCAUCUCAAAUUUCGCCCAAAGAUUCUGCACUAUUUUCGUUGGUACCACAAACAUUGGAAACAAGGUUGUCACACACGGCUGGGCAAAGCUGCAAAGUAAUUACAAGUUAAGGAGGCUAAAGGAGAGGUGACCCACUGAGCAUACCGAGCUGCUACACCGUGAAGAACAAGCUAGACAACAGGGUUAGUUACUGUUGCUUAAGUCCACAGAUCGUUGCUAGGUGGCACAAUGCAGGGCUUGUCAUCCAUUUUCUGUUUUGGAAGUGGAAGCUUUAGUUAAAGCUGUUGGGAAGCUUGGAAUAGGAAGGGAACCACCUGACCCAUCCAUUUGCUAUCCUAUGUGUAUAGAAGGAGCACAACUGCCACAUAUGUCCUGCCUGACCCAUCCAUUUGCUAUCCUAUGUGUAUCGGAGGAGCACAACUGCCACAUAUGUGGGUAAACAUUACGAAUAUUUUGAAUAGCUUGCAUAUUUGUUGAUUCUAUAUAUCAAAAUGCUUAUUUUUAUUAUAAAACUAACCCUCAAACUGA